rnacentral:rRNA from 1 species
AGAGUUUGAUCAUGGCUCAGGAUGAACGCUAGCUACAGGCUUAACACAUGCAAGUCGAGGGGAAACGACAUCGAAAGCUUGCUUUUGAUGGGCGUCGACCGGCGCACGGGUGAGUAACGCGUAUCCAACCUGCCCACCACUUGGGGAUAACCUUGCGAAAGUAAGACUAAUACCCAAUGACGUCUCUAGAAGACAUCUGAAGGAGAUUAAAGAUUUAUCGGUGAUGGGUGGGGAUGCGUCUGAUUAGCUUGGUUGGCGGGGUAACGGCCCACCGAAGGCGACGAUCGAGGUAGGGGUUCUGAGAGGAAGGUCCCCCACAUUGGAACUGAGACACGGUCCAAACUCCUACGGGAGCA